UACGGGGGGUGCGAGCGUUGUCCGGAAUCACUGGGCGUAAAGGGCGCGUAGGUGGUUUGAUAAGGGUGUGGUGAAAGUCCGGGGCUCAACCCCGGAUCUGCCGUGCCGACUGUCAAACUCGAGGGCUGUAGAGGCAGACGGAAUUCCGGGUGUAGCGGUGGAAUGCGUAGAGAUCCGGAGGAGGACCGGUGGCGAAGGCGGUCUGCUGGGCAGUUUCUGACACUGAUGCGCGACAGCGUGGGGAGCAAACAGG
rnacentral:rRNA from 1 species